rnacentral:piRNA from 1 species
UGAUUUCCAAAAUCUCUGAACUGCCUC